ensembl:lncRNA
GUAGGUCAGGUGACCCGAGUGGCGGGCGGCGAGGGCGGGGCGAUGCUCAGGCCCCGCCCAUGGGCAUCCCGGGUCCUGGGGCUGGGCGGGCGCGAAGGCGAUGCCACUCCCUCUCAUUGCCAUCCCGGCUUUUGGAUGGGUUUAAGGCGCGAGUUGUCGGACUCCUAAGGUCCUCUCUAGGUGAUAGACUGGGAGAAACCGGCAGGGAGUGUCACCUCUUGCUUCCUUAAGGCAUUAGUAACUGGAUAACCACAGACAUGAAAGCAAUGCAAAAUUGGAGCUGACCUUCAUCAUUAUCAAGCUGUGAGGCUCACUUCUGAUUUGCAGACCUGUACAGAGUGAACUGAGGCUUCCCAGGUGACUCAGUGGUAAAGAAUCUGCCUGCCAAUGCAGGAGAUGCAAGAAAUGUGGAUUUAGUCCUUGGGUCAGGAAGAUCUCCUGAGUAGGAAAUGGCAACGCACUCCAGUAUUCUUGCCUGGCAUGGACAGAGGAGCCUGGCAGGCAACAGUCCAUGGGGUCUCAAAGAGUCAGACACGACUGAGGACGCAUGCAACGACGGGGUGAGCUGAGGGUUGGGAGACCUGGCCCAAGUGUACCCCUCUGGAAAUGCGCACCCCGAUUGUUUAACUUUCUGAUUAUCUUAAGAUGGGCCGGGAAAUCCUUUCUUACCAACCUUUGCUGUUGAACGUUUGUCUCUUUAGCUUAUUUGUCCAGUUUCCUGCCAUAGCCAGCAGAAUGUAUAGAACAGACUGUUAGGCUGUCAGUUUCACGUUCCCAAGAGUCCUUGAAUAGUUCCCUUUCUGAUGGUGCCUCAAAGUCUCUGGUGGCUCCUGAUAGAGAUCCAGACCUUUCUCCUGUCUUCAAGGUCUGGCCUGAUGCCUCUGGCCACUGCUCCAGCCACAGUCCCAUCACACCUGCCCAUCCUCAGGCGUACUUUCUGGUCUCCCAGCUAUACCUGGUGUCCUCCAGCCUCUUCCCACUACUCUUCACAUGGUUAUCUCUUACUCUUCUUUGGUCUCAGCAAACAGCCAUUUUCUCAGGGAGGCCUUCCCUAACUUUCACACCCAGGUUAAGUCCUUUUACCCUCUCUCAGAGCCUUGUGCCCUUCCUUUGAUCACAACUCUUGGCAUUGCUGGAGUUUAUCGUAUGUCUGUUGCCUCCAUGUCAAUCCCCCUUCAUAAACAUUGUAUUCUGUGGCAUCAGCCAACGUGUUGUGUUAGUGUAGUGCCUGGCACUAAUAGAUGCUAGUGAAG